AUAUGAAGAAAUCCCGUUUCCAACGAAGGCCUCAAAGAGGUCCGAAUAUCCACUUGCAGACUUUACAAACAGAGUGUUGCCUAACUGCUCUAUGAAAAGAAAGAUUAAAGUCUGUGAGUUGAACGCACACAUCACAACGCAGUUUGUGGGAAUGAUUCUGUCUAGUUUUGAAACGAAGAUAUUUCCUUUUCUACCGUUGGCCUCAAAGCGCUUGAAAUCCCACUUGCAAAUUCCGCAAUGAGAGUGUUUCAAAUCUCCUCUGUCUAAAGGAACGUUCAAAUCUGUGAGUUGAAUACACACAACACAAGGAAGUUACUGAGAAUUCUUCUGUCUAGCCUUACAUGAAAAAAACCCGUUUAAAACGAAGGCCU
rnacentral:lncRNA from 1 species